rnacentral:rRNA from 1 species
UACGAAGGGGGCUAGCGUUGCUCGGAAUGACUGGGCGUAAAGGGCGCGUAGGCGGACGGCUUUGUCGGGCGUGAAAUUCCAGGGCUUAACCUUGGGGGUGCGUUCGAGACGGGUUGUCUUGAGUGGGGAAGAGGGUCGUGGAAUUCCCAGUGUAGAGGUGAAAUUCGUAGAUAUUGGGAAGAACACCGGUGGCGAAGGCGGUUCUCUGGGCCUUACCUGACGCUGAGGAGCGAAAGCAUGGGGAGCGAACAGG